rnacentral:rRNA from 1 species
AUUGAACGCUGGCGGCAGGCCUAACACAUGCAAGUCGAGCGGAUGAAGGGAGCUUGCUCCUGGAUUCAGCGGCGGACGGGUGAGUAAUGCCUAGGAAUCUGCCUGGUAGUGGGGGAUAACGUCCGGAAACGGGCGCUAAUACCGCAUACGUCCUGAGGGAGAAAGUGGGGGAUCUUCGGACCUCACGCUAUCAGAUGAGCCUAGGUCGGAUUAGCUAGUUGGUGGGGUAAAGGCCUACCAAGGCGACGAUCCGUAACUGGUCUGAGAGGAUGAUCAGUCACACUGGAACUGAGACACGGUCCAGACUCCUACGGGAGGCAGCAGUGGGGAAUAUUGGACAAUGGGCGAAAGCCUGAUCCAGCCAUGCCGCGUGUGUAAGAAGGUCUUCGGAUUGUAAAGCACUUUAAGUUGGGAGGAAGGGCAGUAAGUUAAUACCUUGCUGUUUUGACGUUACCAACAGAAUAAGCACCGGCUAACUUCGUG